GUUUGUUUUUUUAUAUCAUGAUUCUUAGGGGAACUUCAAUGGCAGGUCGGUACAAAUUUUCAACUCAUGGCUUCUCUCUCCUCUUUCUCUUUUUUAUUUCCUUCUUUCUCCUAGUGGAUCCACAUGUCAUCCUCUAUCUAUUCUUGGUACCCGUGCAUAAGCUGUUACUUCUGCAAGUAACUAGUAUUAUCCAUUUUGCGCUCUCUCUCCGCCACGUAGGACUAGUAUCU
rnacentral:lncRNA from 1 species